rnacentral:rRNA from 1 species
GACGAACGCUGGCGGCGUGCUUAACACAUGCAAGUCGAACGGAAAGGCCCUGCUUUUGUGGGGUGCUCGAGUGGCGAACGGGUGAGUAACACGUGAGUAACCUGCCCUUGACUUUGGGAUAACUUCAGGAAACUGGGGCUAAUACCGGAUAGGAGCUCCUGCUGCAUGGUGGGGGUUGGAAAGUUUCGGCGGGUGGGGAUGGACUCGCGGCUUAUCAGCUUGUUGGUGGGGUAGUGGCUUACCAAGGCUUUGACGGGUAGCCGGCCUGAGAGGGUGACCGGCCACAUUGGGACUGAGAGACGGCCCAGUCUCCUACGGGAGGCAGCAGGGGGGAAUAUUGCACAAUGGGCGGAAGCCUGAUGCAGCAACGCCGCGUGCGGGAUGACGGCCUUCGGGUUGUAAACCGCUUUCGCCUGUGACGAAGCGUGAGUGACGGUAAUGGGUAAAGAAGCACCGGCUAACUACGUG